rnacentral:rRNA from 1 species
UACAGAGGUCCCAAGCGUUGUUCGGAUUCAUUGGGCGUAAAGGGUGUGUAGGCGGCGCGGUAAGUCGGGUGUGAAAUCUCGGAGCUUAACUCCGAAACUGCAUUCGAUACUGCCGUGCUUGAGGACUGGAGAGGAAACUGGAAUUUACGGUGUAGCGGUGAAAUGCGUAGAUAUCGUAAGGAAGACCAGUGGCGAAGGCGGGUCUCUGGACAGUUCCUGACGCUGAGGCACGAAGGCCAGGGGAGCAAACGGG